AAAUGAUCAAUAAAUGGUACUUAACUGUUAAAAAAAAAAAGAUAAUUAUAUUUGAGUUUGUAUGUGUGUUAAUUUGUAUACAAAUAUUGAAGAGGUGUGUGCCAAAAAUUUAUCAGGGGUUAUUUAUGUACACCAGGAUUUGUUUUCUUUAUAUAUUACUGUGCUUGUAGAUGUUUUAUAAUAUAUGUUAAAUGAGAGUAUAUUAUUAUUUGAACUAUAGAAUCAGAUAAAUUUUUUUGAGUUAGUGAAAGAGACAUAUAAUUAAAUGGGCCAAAGUUUUAUGACUCGGUCAUCAGAAAGGUUAGAUAAUCUUCCUCUUUGUUGUUAAAAAAUUUCAAGCUAAUUUUAAUACAUGUAUUUUUAUUGCUGACUAGUCUUGGAUAUACACUAGUUUGAUGAUUGAUUUGCCUUUCUCAAAACAUUUGAAACAUAUGAUGUUGACUGUUUUAAAUACUACUUUCUAUCUCUCUAAUCAUUUUUUGUCCAGUUUUUUAGUUCAGUCUGAAACAUGUUACUUUUGAUGCUUUUUUAGUGAACUCUGUCCCCUUGUGGAUUACAGUUCACUUUUAUUAAAAAUUGAAUAGAUUGAAAUAUUUCUUAUAAAAUAUAAAGAAUAAUAUGACAGGUACUCAUGUACCACCACCUACUGUGUAUUCAUUCCUUUGUUUCAGUUGUGAUUUAAAAAUUAGAUUUGACUAAAGCGUUUACCAUACCUGAGCAUCCAUAGUAUGUGCCCUACCCCCUGUUCUUAUGGUUUAUGUUAGAAAUUUUAAUUUGAUUGUCUUCUUUAGAAAAUGUACUUUAAUCCCAGAUGCCCCGAAGUGGUUUUGCAAGCAGGUUGAAAAUUCAAGCAUUAGUAUUUUACCAGUGUAGUGAACUUAUGUUAAAAUUAUUUUAGAUUUUGUUAAACAUAUUUUUUUCUUGACAAAGUGGUCUCAUUUACUGAUGUUGGUUUGUAAUUAAUGGUACUAUCAUCAACCAUUUCUAGGCCUUUGUUAAAGGAUGUCAGCUUUAACAAACACCAGACCUAAUGUAACCCUAUACUUUGGCAAAUUUAAGCUACUCCUGCUUAGAAUAAAUUAGAGAGAUUGAAAUAAGUAGUUGCUUUUUCUGUUAUGCAAGUGUCUGCAAGAUGUAUUGAGCAGUUCCAGUUCUGCCAUAGUGAGCUAGUGUUUUGUGAUUUAUUCCACCUCUCUGGCCUUAAUAUUCUUAUCUGUGGCAGGAAUAGUUGGAUCAGAGGACUUUUAAGUUUUGUUUAACUUCAUAAAUGACUUAAUAUCUUUUCUGCCAUGAACAGAGAAAGGAAACAGGUUCUCUGUAGAAAGAUUGAAAAGAUUAACUAAAGCAUUUUUUAGAAUGAACUUCAACAGUCAAUAAUAGAUGACAUAUGCUUGAAAAGGUGACUGGUGAAAGCAAGGGGAAAAAGGCAUUGAGAAGAGAUUUUAAUGGCAAUCUAAGAUUGAGUUAAUAAUACAGGCAAAAGUAUAAAUUGGUUAGAAUUAAUAAUAUGAAUGAAUAUUCGUGGAUGGUUUGCUGUGUUACCAGGUACAGAACUAUCUUAGGCAUUUUUAAAUUUUUUUUGUAUUUUCAGAAUUAGUGGUUGCUUAGUGUUGUUGAAGAUCUGCUCUUUUAGAAGAGUGAAGUCCGCAGGUUUGAAGUCCAAUAGAACACAGCCGGAGUCUCCCAGAGUGUGUUUGAGGUCCAAUAGAACACAGCCGGAGUCUCCCAGAGUGUGUUUUGCUUUGGAGUAACAUAAGCAUUUGAAAACUACUGAACGCUUUGAGGUUACUAUCAGGAGAGUGUUAGUGAAUAACUGCCGCAGUACACUGAGUGCUUCUGUAAUGACCGGUAUUUUUAAAUCUUUAAGGUUGUCAGACAAGGGAUUUACUGAAUGAUAUCCCUGCCCCCAAAAGCUGAGUUCUAAAGGCUUCUUGUCUGUUGAAAGGCCCUAACUCAGUGGUUAGUAUUUGUUUUUCUCUUCUAGCGUUCUAGUUAUGAUUCAAGAGUGAGAGGUUUUUUUUUCCCUAAUUCUGUAUAACCC